rnacentral:tRNA from 2 species
GUCGCUUUCGUGCAGGGUCGAGCAAGGGCUUUAACGGUUUUGUAAACCGUCGGUCCUCGGUUCGAUCCCGAGAGUUGGCUCCA